ACAGGGAUUGCCUCAGUAACGGCGAGUGAAGCGGCAAAAGCUCAAAUUUGAAAUCUGGCACUAUUCGUGUCUGAGUUGUAAUUUGGAGAGGCAACUUCAGGUGGGACCCAGUCUAUAUUCCUUGGAACAGGAUGUCAUAGAGGGUGAGAAUCCCGUUCAUGGCUGGAUGUUCCCGUUAGUAUGUAGUGCCUUCUACGAGUCGAGUUGUUUGAGAAUGCAGCUCAAAAUGGGUGGUAAAUUUCAUCUAAAGCUAAAUAUGGGCGAGAGACCGAUAGCGCACAAGUAGAGUGAUCGAAAGAUGAAAAGCACUUUGAAAAUAGAGUCAAAAAGUACGUGAAAUUGUUGAAAGGGAAGCGCUUGAGACCAGACAUAGCCUAUGGCAAACAACUGUCCUUCUGGGUAGUGCACUUGUCAAAGGUUAGGCCAGCAUCAGUUAGGAUGGUGGGAGAAAGACUAGGAGAAUGUGACUCCAAUUUCGAGUGUUAUAGAUCCUGGUGUCAUGCCAUCUGUCCUGACUGUGGACCGCGCUUCGGCUAGGAUGCUGGCAUAAUGGUUUCCAGCGGCCCGUCUUGAAACACGGACCAAGGAGUCUAACAUCUAUGCAAGUGUUUGGGCUACACACCCUCACGCGUAAUGAAAGUAAAUGGAGGUGGGAAUUUCGAAAGGGAUGCACCAUCGACCGAUCCUGAUGUCUUCGGAUGGAUUUGAGUAGGAGCAUAGCUGUUGGGACCCGAAAGAUGGUGAACUAUGCCUGAAUAGGGUGAAGCCAGAGGAAACUCUGGUGGAGGCUCGCAGCGGUUCUGACGUGCAAAUCGAUCGUCAAAUUUGGGUAUAGGGGCGAAAGACUAAUCGAACCAUCUAGUAGCUGGUUCCUG
rnacentral:rRNA from 1 species